CAGGCCUAACACAUGCAAGUCGGACGGUAGCACAGAGGAGCUUGCUCCUUGGGUGACGAGUGGCGGACGGGUGAGUAAUGUCUGGGGAUCUGCCCGAUAGAGGGGGAUAACCACUGGAAACGGUGGCUAAUACCGCAUAACGUCGCAAGACCAAAGAGGGGGACCUUCGGGCCUCUCACUAUCGGAUGAACCCAGAUGGGAUUAGCUAGUAGGCGGGGUAAUGGCCCACCUAGGCGACGAUCCCUAGCUGGUCUGAGAGGAUGACCAGCCACACUGGAACUGAGACACGGUCCAGACUCCUACGGGAGGCAGCAGUGGGGAAUAUUGCACAAUGGGCGCAAGCCUGAUGCAGCCAUGCCGCGUGUAUGAAGAAGGCCUUCGGGUUGUAAAGUACUUUCA
rnacentral:rRNA from 1 species